AUUGAACGCUGGCGGCGUGCUUAACACAUGCAAGUCGUGCGGUAACAGGCGUAGCAAUACGUGCUGACGAGCGGCGAACGGGUGCGUAAUACAUGGGAAUCUGCCCUUUAGUGGGGAAUAACCCGGCGAAAGCCGGGCUAAUGCCGCAUAAGAUCUUCGGAUGAAAGCGGGGGAUCGUAAGACCUCGCGCUGAUGGAUGAGCCCAUGUCGGAUUAGCUAGUGGUGAGGUAACGGCUCACCAAGGCGACGAUCCGUAGCUGGUCUGAGAGGACGGCCAGCCACACUGGGACUGAGACACGGCCCAGACUCCUACGGGAGGCAGCAGUGGGGAAUAUUGGACAAUGGGCGAAAGCCUGAUCCAGCGACGCCGCGUGUGUGAAGAAGGCCUGCGGGUUGUAAAGC
rnacentral:rRNA from 1 species